CGUGCUCCUAACACCUGUGUGUAAGAUAACUGAGGAGGAAGUGUAGUUCAUAAACUGGGGGCGCACAAAGUGUAUGGAUCUGUGUAAAACUACUAAAACCAUCACACUGAACGCUUGCUGGCUUUAUCCCGGGUGGUGCAGGGACAGAUGGGGAGCUUUGGACUUUCGUUUUCUGCCAUUCUGAAGACGUAUGAUGAAAUGCAAUCAAGGGAUGUGAAUGUCAGGCGAACUGCUGCCCUUCAUUGUCUCCCAGCACUACUUCUUGAAAGCGACUCAGAGGUGUUCAAAACCUGCAAGGAACGUGAGUCAAGAAAUCCUGGUGUCCUCAUUGGUCCAGUCUGCAUACCUGCUAUCGUCUCUGAUGAUGAAGAUGCAGUCUCCCUUCAGCCUCACCAAGUCUCCAUCAUCCACGAAGAUAGAGUGGUGAUGCACAGCUUCCAAUCCUGGCCAGAUGCUUUUCGCGCUCUAAUUGGCCUGGUUUAUGCUCUACAUCUGGAUUACCCAAAACCCAUGUCCAGCUCAUUUCUAUUCAUUCAGAAAGUGUUGAUUGCGAAAAGCUCAAAUCAAGUUUUGGCCCCCUAAACUGUAACCUAAUUUUAACCUGUUUUCAGCUCAAAUGUGCCUGUGGUAAGACAACAGAUGUUGUUAUUUUUUCAACCUUAGUAAAGAGAACUUGGUGAUUGUUGGAACAAAAAAAGUUUGAAUGCUUUUUUUGUUAUUUCCUUUCAUGUGCGUUCUCUUGAACUGUAACCAGAGGAACAAAAAUUGACAACUGUGAAUCUCAUGUGUUUGAAAUGCUGUUGUGGUAUUCUCCAAUAAUAAAUCAUAUUAGUUUGUACAGUUCAACAUGAAAUUUACACCUGAACC